AGAGUUUGAUCCUGGCUCAGGACGAACGCUGGCGGCGCGCCUAACACAUGCAAGUCGAACGAGAGAUGAGGAGCUUGCUUUUCAAAUCGAGUGGCGAACGGGUGAGUAACGCGUGAGGAACCUGCCUCAAAGAGGGGGACAACAGUUGGAAACGACUGCUAAUACCGCAUAAGCCCACGGCUCGGCAUCGAGCAGGGGGAAAGGAGUGAUCCGCUUUGAGAUGGCCUCGCGUCCGAUUAGCUAGUUGGUGAGGUAAUGGCCCACCAAGGCGACGAUCGGUAGCCGGACUGAGAGGUUGAACGGCCACAGUUGGGACUGAGACACGGCCCAGACCUCCGUACGGGAGGCA
rnacentral:rRNA from 1 species